GGAUAGGAUGCAUGAGCAGAUUGAAAAGCAAGUUGGAUUAUGCUAGGAUUCAGUUACUGAGUUAUUUUUUACUUCUUUGUAUUUGUGUUGUGUAUUAAGAAAACCUUCAUUUGUGUUAUUCUACAUUUAAUGUAUUGGAAAUAUGCUGCAUAAGUGUGUGAACAAUGCAAACUAGUUCUGUUACACUUAUGACAAUGUUACAUUUUCCUCCAGUAAAUGAUGUAUGACAACAAUCAUGCAAAAAGCCUACUUUUUAUACUUUGGUUGUACAGUAAUCAUUAAGACAAACUGUGGACAAUACAGUUUUGUUGAAAUACCUGAGCUGUGAUCAGUAUUGCAGAAUUAUUUCUAAGUCUAGUUAUGCUGUAAUGCUGAACAUAUUUCUAACUACUACUUGACUCCUGCCACUGCUGGAUUUCUGACUACUUAAGUCAGCUUGUUUUAUCUAUGCUAACCUUCUACUAGUGAUGCCAUUGUUUUUGUUUUGUCAUAUGUAGUGUUGCCACCUUUUCAAAAUCGCUGACCCGGACAGCAGGUGAGGUUUGUUUGAACAGAAUUUCCUGAUGCAUGCGCAAUGUCAUUUUGCAAUGCGAAGAAUAACGUGCAGUGUAUGCUGGUUCUGAAUCAAUUACAGUUAGGGACUAGGGAGACUUGGGUAGGAGUAACGUAAGUAACUAAAUUAAGAAAAAACAACUACAGAUGACUUAGCUCUAUUGGAUAUUGGAGAUGUGUACGAAUACAAAUCGUACGAGCAAAAACAAAAAAAAAAGAAAAAAGAAAAAAAAAGGUUGACAGGUUGCGCACUAUAUUCCUGGACAAAAUUGAAUGUUCACCCGGACAGUGAGUCGAUUCCUGGACUGUCCGGGUGAAAACCGGACGGGUGGUAACACUAGUCAUAUGAUUAGCAAGAUGGAAGCUCCUGCUGGACUAAAUAUACUUUUAUAAUAGUCAUAAAAUUAUUGUAAUUAUGAUAAUUUAUUUUAUGAUAAAAUUAUGAUGAUUAUCAUUCACCAUUUCUGCACACAAUAAGUCUUAACUUGCUAACUCAGCACACUGUUCGAGGAUAUUCAGAAUACUUCUUAGCUCUGUCCUCCUAGCCAAUUACAUUUCUUACUUAGCAUUCUGCAUUACUGAAUUUAGUUCUGUUUAAUGGAUAUGUAUUUCUGGCUACAUAGGAAGGAACUUGCCAUGCCAUUUGUAGUUCCAAUUGUAUGAAAAGAAUCAAUUGUGUUACAGGUUCUACUUCUGCAUUAACCAUGCCAAAGUAUGAAUGACUAAGAAGAAGAUAACCAUUAGCUAUCCUGAUAUGCCUUCUACAAUACUGCCUAAACUACAUAGUGAGGAAAUACCCAUUUCAGAACCUUCCAAGUACACAAUAGUGAGUGAUGUAGAUGAACCAGACAUGAAUGAAUUGGCAGAUCAUCAUUAUUUGACCGAAUUUGUGUUGAAUUUUUGAGAUGCAACACAGAAUAACACAGGAAGAACUGAAUAAUCUUAUCAGGGAUCUGGAAUUACCCAAGAAUAAAGCAGAACUAUUCAUGCCAAAUGGUUGCCAGAUUAUAUGAAACUAUAUUAAUGCUGUUGUUAAUAUUAAUAAUUAAAUAUCAAGUAAUUUGGCCUAGAGGUAGGAGUUAAGUGUUAUUUCUUUUUAAAUUAAUUAUUAAAUUUAUCAAGUUCUAGAAAAAAAGCUAGAAGAAAAGAAUAAACCUGAAGCAGGGCUUGAACCCACAACUUGUGCUUGCCUUGCAGACACGUUGCUAGUUAUGUUCCAGCUGAUCUUCAAUUCCAGAACUAUUAAUUUAAAUAUAACCAUACUGGUUACUCACAAUGCUGACUUAACUAAUGGCUUGGCUUCCAGGUUGAAACAAUGGAAUUGCCUUGCAGAAAAUGUGAAAAGUUACUUCUUUUGCUGCCAACACAAUGUUUUUUGCAGUUCUAUUCUAAAGAAGGUGAUCUCAAUUUCUGUAACAUUGUCAAUGAUGUUACAGCAGCUUUGGGCAUCAUGUACACUUGCAAUAAAUGGCAUUUGUUUAUAGAUUCAGUUUGAAGUUGGUGCUUUUACACAACAACACGCUGCCUUCUGUUCCACUGGCAUAUGUUACCCAAACUAAAGAAAUCUAUACAGUUAUGGAAACCUUAGACUUCAGAACAAGAAUCAGGAGUGAUGUGCAUUGGAUUUUAAAGUUAUUGCUAUAUUAAUGGAACUACAGCAGGGAUACAGAAAAUUUUGUUGCUCUGUCUGAAUGGGAUAGUUGUGACAAAUUAAA